rnacentral:rRNA from 1 species
AUUGAACGCUGGCGGCAGGCUUAACACAUGCAAGUCGAGCGGGGGGAGGUAGCUUGCUACCUAACCUAGCGGCGGACGGGUGAGUAAUGCUUAGGAAUCUGCCUAUUAGUGGGGGACAACAUUUCGAAAGGGAUGCUAAUACCGCAUACGCACUAAGGGGGAAAGCAGGGGAUCUUCGGACCUUGCGCUAAUAGAUGAGCCUAAGUCGGAUUAGCUAGUUGGUGGGGUAAAGGCCUACCAAGGCGACGAUCUGUAGCGGGUCUGAGAGGAUGAACCGCCACACUGGGACUGAGACACGGCCCAGACUCCUGCGGGAGGCAGCAGGGGGGAAUAUUGGACAAUGGGGGGAACCCUGAUCCAGCCAUGCCGCGUGUGUGAAGAAGGCCUUUUGGUUGUAAAGCACUUUAAGCGAGGAGGAGGCGACCGAAAUUAAUACUCUUGGAUAGUGGACGUUACCCGCAGAAUAAGCACCGGCUAACUCUGUGCCAGCAGCCGCCGUAAAAC